UUAGACUCAAACAUAUAGAAAAGAGAAGAGAGAGAACCAAAGAGAGAGAGAGCUUCAUUGUUUUUGCAUGCAAUGUAAUUAAUCUGUUGGUGCAAAACCGUGAGAAAGAGAGAGACAACCGUGGGUGAGAAAGAGAGAACCAUGAAUGAGGGAGAGUUUAACUCCUUAAAUCUUUGCUGGAAAUUUGAAGGAAAACCAAGGGAAAAGUGAAGAAAAGGAAGGAGAAACUCAAGUUUGGCUUGGAUUUGUCAAAAUUAUGCAAGAUUAAACGUCUAUGAAGACUCUAGGUGAUCAGGCGCGUGACCAGGCUUAGAGGCUUCUGCCUAGAACCAGUUUUGUCAGCCAACCUAUGUGCCUCCCGUGGAGGUUUCGGAUAUGUCAAGUGAUUAUUGCUAUGUGAUCUAAAGUUUAAGUUUUAUUUUCGUGUUUAGUUGAACAAGUCUUGUGUAUUUUGUAAAUAGGGUUAAGUUCCUUUUUGUCUAAUCUGUGUUUAUAUGACGACUUAAAGUUAAUAUGUAUAUGUGUACAUAAAAAGUUUAAAAUUUUUCUGUCUCAUAUAA